rnacentral:rRNA from 1 species
UACGGAGGGUGCGAGCGUUGUUCGGAAUUAUUGGGCGUAAAGCGCACGUAGGCAGCCUGGUAAGUCUCACUGUGAAAGCCCGGGGCUCAACCCCGGGAGGCCAGGGGAUACUGCAAGGCUAGAGACAAGUAGAGGCUGGUAGAAUUCCGGGUGUAGCGGUGGAAUGCGUAGAGAUCCGGAGGAAUACCUGAGGCGAAGGCGGCCAGCUGGGCUUGAUCUGACGCUGAGGUGCGAAAGCGUGGGGAGCGAACAGG